rnacentral:rRNA from 1 species
AUUGAACGCUGGCGGCAGGCCUAACACAUGCAAGUCGAGCGGAUGAGGGAAGCUUGCUUCCCGAUUUAGCGGCGGACGGGUGAGUAAUGCCUAGGAAUCUGCCUAUUAGUGGGGGAUAACGUUCCGAAAGGAACGCUAAUACCGCAUACGUCCUACGGGAGAAAGUGGGGGAUCUUAGGACCUCGCGCUAAGAGAAGAGCCUAGGUCGGAUUAGUUAGUUGGUGGGGUAACGGCUCACCAAGGCGACGAUCCGUAGCUGGUCUGAGAGGAUGAUCAUCCACACUGGAACUGAGACACGGUCCAGACUCCUACGGGAGGCAGCAGUGGGGAAUAUUGGACAAUGGGCGAAAGCCUGAUCCAGCCAUGCCGCGUGUGUGAAGAAGGUCUUCGGAUUGUAAAGCACUUUAAGUUGGGAGGAAGGGUUGUAAGCUAAUAUCUUGCAGCUUUGACGUUACCAACAGAAUAAGCACCGGCUAACUCUGUGCCAGCCGCCGCUGUAACAC